rnacentral:lncRNA from 1 species
GUUCGGGGCUGGGCUGUGUGUGCUGUUCCUUGCGAUGCUGGGCAGUCCUGGACACUACUAGUUGGGCAGGGCGACGGCGACACCAUCCUGGGUCCCUGGGAGAAGUAAGAGCGGGAAGGUUAGUAGGGCAGUCCCUUGCCUGGCCCUUGGCCCUAACGCAUCUUCUGCCAACCUCAACCCCGCCCCAAGGGUGCGCUCUGAUCUCGGCCCAAGGCCUCUGGCGAAUGCUGAAUAAGUUGCCCCCCAUCCUCUGCACGCUUCUCCCGGAAGGGUCUCUAAACACUCCUGCCUGUGAGGGUACUCGCGUGGCUUCCUCGGCUCCUGGUGAACGCGGUCGCGGGCUAGUGGGGGAAGUGGGCCCCUGGGAACCGGCGUGUGUAGGACAUCGGGGAAGGAGCGAGUGGAGAGGGCAGAAUUCCUGUUCCUGGCAAUCUUCCAGCCUGGCGCGUGGAGCCAGCUCGAGGUUCAUUUGCGUGGAUUUAGUAACGGAGGGAUCGAAAACAUCCUCAAUCCUCGAAGCUGUCCCCUUCUCUGAGCCCUUAGAGGCCUGCACAUUCUUUGGCAGAACAAUUUCGGAAAUUCUCAGUCUGUGCUAGGCAUAAGCUCUAGCCUUUUCCACCAAGUAGCAAAGAUAGACAUGUAAACAAGUUUGGACACAGUGUGAUGACUGCAACAAAAAGAAGCAUUAUGAGGUUAAAUGCAAAAGGCUAACAUUAACUACUGCGGAGGUUGUAGGAAAGGCCUCCUGAGGUAAGCUCCGGCGAAAUUGGAGAUUGAGAGACUAAAUGAAAUGUGUGGGAGUGCAUUUCCAGUAGAAAGAAUGCAUAUAGUCAGUCCCUCACCUGACUGAGUGGCGCAAUCAGAGGUAAACUGAACAGGUAAACUCAUCAUGAAGAACAUAAAAUGAGCCAAACUCCCUGUCCUUAUCGCUCCCCUGCAAGGUUGACUUUUUUCUGGUGAUGGUGUGUGUGGGGGGGUUGUAUUUGGGGGAGGUUUUGUUGUUGUUGUUGUUUUGUUGUGGGUUUGGGUACUGAGGAUUGAAUUCAGGGAUUCUCUACCACUGAGCUACAUUCCCAGCCCUUUUUAAAAAAAUUUCAGGACAGGGUCUCCAUAAAUUGCCCAGGCCAGCUUCCAACUUGUGAUCCUCCUUUUUUAGCCUCCCAAGUAGCUGAGAUUGCAAACCUACCACUUCACCUGGCUCCGUGUAGGGUUUUAAGAGGGUUGCUUUAUUUUGAUUUUCUUGUUGUUUUAUUGUUUUCGGAUAUAUAAUGCACAUACAUUCAAAUUACAAAAAAAGUAGACACAUCAGCCACUGUAUUCUUUCUAGUGGCAAACAGUGUACCCUGUUCCUUGUAUGUUUUUUCAGAGUCUACAAAUAAGCACUUUAUAAAGAUGUUUUUUCAAGAGAUAUUCUAAUGCCCAUUUAAAGUGUGAGAGGCAAUUACCUAUUUAUAAUGCAUCCAUUUAUAAAAGGUGGACUGAAAAGAGGCAAAACAGAAAGCAUGGGUAGCUGGUAUAUAAAUCUGAGGGCACAGUCUAUUCACAAUUGUUAUCUUCAGCUUUUGGCAUAGUGCCUAACACAAAAAUAUUUUCUGAAUGAAUGUGUGUGUGUACCUUCCAUGCUUUUGCUUCUCCAGAUCAAACCCAGGGUCUCUCAUGUGCUAGGCAAGGGCUGUACUCCUGAGUUAUACCCCAUUCUGAAUGAAUUAAUUAAAUGAGAAAAAUGUAAGCCUAGAUUAAGACAGUGGCAAUGGAAAGAAAAACCAAUCAGAAAUAUUUAAAGGUCAGAGUCUAUAGAACUUAGUGACUAUAAUGAUUAUUUUUAUGUAUUUUCUUGACUAGGCCAUGAUACCUAUGUUACCCAGUCUUUAGUCAAACACUGAUUGUUAUGAAAAUAUCUGUUAGAUAUGAUUAAUAUUUAAAUCAGUAGACUUUGAGUAAAGCAGAUUACUCUUCAUAAUUUAUAAGGGUCCAUCCAAUCAGUCCAAAUUAAAAAACUUCAGGAAGAAGGCAUUCUGCCUCCAGACUGUAGUAUUAAAUCUCCCUUAGGUCUUUAUUCUACUUGUUUAUCAUGCAGAUUUCAGACUUGCCAGCACCCACAACCUUAAAAUAAAUCUCUUUCUAUUAUGCACAUCCUAUUGAUUUGUUUCUCUGGAGAAUCCUAACUAGUGAUUGACUGAAUAUGGAGGAGGAGUGGGAGACACAAGGAAAAGUUGAUCUCUUUGAAAGUGAGUGAUGGUGACAGUUAUCUAGUUGCUCAAGUCAGAAACCUGGGAGCUAUUCUUUUUUCUUCCUCUCUCUUACCCCUAAAUUCCAUUCAUCAUCAAGUCUGGAUCUGUUUUCCAGUAUUAAUCUCGAAGAUAUUUAUCCCCGUGUCUCUUGCUACUACCUUAAUCCAAAAUUUGGUCAUUCAGUUUUCAUUCUUUACCUUCCACAAUCCAUUCACUACACACCAAGCAGUUUAAUUUAAUGUGUUAAUCAGAUAGUACCACUCCCCUCCAGUUGAAAUCCUUUUAAUGGCUUCUUCUAUUUUUUAUUUUUUUUUUAAGUCCAGCUUCUUUUCAGGUCCUGCAUAGACUGACUCCUACAUCUCACCAACCCCUUUCCUAUAAUGCCUCCCCCACACACAGACACCCCCCACACACACACACACCACUGCCAUUCUCUAUUAUUAAUUCCAUUUAACCUUCUAAGGCUACUAAGCUUUUUCCAGUUCAGGAGGUUUCUACAUACUGUUCUUUCUGCUUACAGUGUUUAUUUUUCCCCCAUGCUUUGCAUGGGGUCUCUUCUUUCACAUCAAAGCUCAAAUGUUAUCUCUACAGAAAGCUCUUUCCUGAUCUCCCUCCUGCAAAGUACCUCCCCAAUUAUUUUCUAACUCAUCACUGUUUUUAUCAUAAUAUUUAUCCUAUAUCUUGUUUAUUCAGUAUCUAUUAGGAACACAAGUACCUUGUCUUAUUUUUUACUACGUAUUACUAGUGCUUUGACACAUGGUUAAAUAUUGAUAAAUUCUUUUGAAAAUGGGUGAAUGGUGGCUCCCUUCAUAGUAAAGAAUACAGGAUCAAUUAAGUUUGACCACACAGGUCUUGACAUUUUUGUAGGACAUCCAAAAUGAAAAUGUGUGAUGCACUUUGGAGCUCAAGAGAACUGGACCACAGACACAGAAUUAGGAGUCAUAUGAUUAUUGUGGUUGGUAAAAUGAUGUGAAAAUUGAAGUUAUCUGAAUAUGGCAUAGAUUGAAAAAAAUAUUGAAGGACAUCAACAUUUAAGGAGCAAUCACAAGAAAAAGAUAUAGGGAGGACAGUAAAUAUUUAAAAAUUAUUGUUGUAUUCUUCCAGUACCAUCAUGUGUAUAUGUGUGUGGAAAACAAAUGUGUAUGUGUGUAUUUUAAAAUAAUGUGGGACUUGGUAUAUUAAAAAAUUCACUAUAUGGAAGUCAGAAGACCUUCUUCUAGUCAUUCAAAUGAUAAGAUUUUAUUGAGCUGAAUACUGAAUACUUCUAGUGUGUAUGUGGUGGGGAAGGGCUUACAGUCUUUUCCUCUUUUUCUGGAAAUUGCCCUAGUUAGUAUACAAGAGUGGGUGUGCUCUCCAAAGCCAUGUCUUGUGACUUACCAUAGUGACUUACCAC